AUGUCGCCGAUGGCAUGGAUGUUGGUGCUAAUGCUACUGCCAUUAGCUGCAUCGGCCUCUAGCGCCUUGGUGCUGAAGCCAGACUGCCAGGCGCGAUGCGGCGACCUCGUCGUCCCCUACCCGUUCGGCAUCGGCGCCGGCUGCUUCCGUCCCGGCUUCGAGAUCGCCUGCGACAGGAACACGACGCCGUUUCUGCCGGAUGUCACCUUCAAGGGCCACACCCCCGCCGAGCCCGUGCGCGUGUUGAACCUGAACGUGACGCCGAGGGCGCAGGUCCGGGUGAUGCUGCCUGUGGCGCACGAGUGCGUCGACACUGCCCGCAAGGUGACCGCCCGCUUCGACGGCAAGCUGACAUUCAACAAGUGGCGCGUUUACCGCAUCUCCAACACCGCCAACGAGCUCUUUGUUUUGGGCUGCGACACCCUCAUCUACGCCGCCAGUAGGCCGCGGAGGUCCCGAUUCCGGCACGCGACGAGCGACCCCUACUCCAGUGGGUGCGUUGCCUAUUGCAAUAGCGCCCAGGACGCGCGGGACCGCAGGUGCAACAGCAUCGGAUGCUGCCACGUCAACAUCUCGCGGUUGCUAAACAACACCAAGAUGUGGUUCGAGAAAUGGUCGCGCACGCGCGUCGACUCCACGCGCCCCUGCGACUACGCCUUCAUCGUGGAGAAGAAUGGCUACGUCUUCGAGACUGCCCAUCUGAAGAGGAAACCGGAGCCGGACCCGGACAAGCGAUGGAGCAUGCCGCUUUGGCUGGACUGGGCCAUCCGCAACCGCAGUAACUCCAUGUGGUGCCCCCAGGCGGUCAAGACGCGAGAAUACGCUUGCGUGAGCAAGCACAGCGACUGCGCGAAUUCCACCAACGGGAAGGGGUACAUCUGCAAAUGCUCGAACGGCUAUGAGGGCACCCCAUACCUUAUCGAUGGAUGCACAGAGGUAACGACAGGUUUAAUCAUUGGCCUAUCAGUUUCUAGUGGCCCAACUAUUCUAAUUUUGCUUCUCACCACAAAGAUAAUAAUCCGCAAGCUUAAGAAUCAAAAGGAACAAAAGUUGAGACAAAAGUUCUUCAAUCAAAAUCGUGGACAAUUGUUGCAAAAAUUGGUAUCUCAUAGGUCAGAUAUUGCAGAGCGGAUGAUCAUCCCUUUAAGGGAGCUAGAAAAAGCCACAAACAAGUUUCAUCCAACUCGUAAGCUUGGUGGUGGAGGGCAUGGUACUGUAUAUAAAGGAAUUUUAUCAGACUUGCAUGUUGUUGCAAUCAAAAGGUCAAAUAUUGAGGUCAAGAGUGAGAUUAAUGAGUUUAUAAAUGAAGUUUCCAUACUCUCACAAAUCAAUCAUAGGAACAUUGUAAAGCUUUUUGGAUGUUGUCUCGAGACAGAAGUCCCUUUGUUGGCUUAUGAGUUCAUUUCCAAUGGAACCCUAUGUGAUUAUCUUCACAAGAAACCACUAAGAUCACUACCUUGGCAAGAAAUAUUAAGGAUUGCAUUAGAAAUUGGUAGAGCCCUUUCUUACCUUCAUUCAGGCCUUUCUGUCCCCAUAAUACACAGAGAUAUCAAGUCCACCAAUAUACUUCUUGAUGAUGCUUUGACAGCGAAGGUGUGUGACUUUGGAGCUUCAAGGUACAUUCCUAGAGAUAAAACAACAAUUACAACUGUGGUGCAGGGAAUGUUAGGAUAUUUAGAUCCUACAUACUUUUAUUGUGGCAGGCUAACAGAAAAAAGUGAUGUUUAUAGCUUCGGAGUUAUUCUCGUUGAGUUGCUUACGAGGAAGAUGCCAAUUACACGUAGAUCCUCCUCAGGUGAUGGGCUAGUUGCACAAUUUGUUGAACUACUUGCAAAAGGAAAAUUGGUAGACAUACUAGAUCCACAGGUAAUGGAGGAGGGAGGUAGCCAAGCUGAAGUGGUAGCUUCUCUAGCUAUGUCGUGCACAAAGCUAAGGGCAGAGGAGCGACCAACCAUGAGGUCAGUGGAGAUGACACUAGAAGCACUUCAAGGACCCAAAGAGCGUUUUCGGGUUCAGGAUGGAACAUAUGAGGGGAGUUAUUCAGCAAUGAGGUAUACAUCACCAAGAAGAAGUACAAGCUUAGAGAAAACGAGCAGACAAUAUAGUCAAGAAGAAGAGUUCGUGUUGUCCGCGAGCUACCCUCGAUAG
rnacentral:rRNA from 1 species